UUACUAUAGUUCCUAGAAUCCUUAAUUAAUGUUAGAUAUCAAACCAUUCUAUAAAACCAAUGAUAUAACUCUAUGAACCAAUAGCAUGUUAUUGAGUCUGCUUCUAGUAGCACAUUUUAGUCAAAAUAAAUCUCUUGGUUCAACAACUUUUACACGCAAUGCAAGGCGAAAGGACAAGAUUGACGACAACGACUGUGCGAUGGAGGAAGAAUUAGUGGCGUUGUCGAUUGCUGAAGGGGAGGGGAGGAGGAUGCAUGGUAAGUUGAUUUGGAGGAGGAAUUGAGGAGGGAAGGGGAAGAUCUGAGCGUUGUGGGCUGUUUCUUGACUGCUAGUGUUGUUCAAUUCUAGGCUAUGCGUACAACUUUAGCCAAUUUACAGCAUCCGCUUGGGGGUGUGACGAUUACAGAUCUAGGGGGAGAAUGAUUUCUUUUUAAGUUCUAUUAUGAGAUUGAUCUAGCCAGGUUUUUAGAAGGAAGCCCUUGGAUGUUUAAUAACCAUUUGUUGCUUUUCCACAGAUUAAAGGUAGGGGAAGAUUCAUUGGCUGUGCCAUUGUUUUGGUCAGAUUUUUGAUCCAAGUUCUUGAUCUUCCGGCGGGUUUAAUUUUUGAGAUGAUGGCCAAACAGUUUGGGAUUUCUUAGGGCAAUUUUUAGAGUGUGAUGCGAAAUCCAUAAGCAAAGGUUAUCAGAGUUACAUGAGGAUUCAGGUAAGAAUUGAUGUGAAGAAUACGAUGAAGAGAAGGAAAAAAAUUGUUUUGGGUAACAAAGGUUGCAUUUAUGUACGCUUUCAAUAUGAAAGAUUAUUGAUGUUUUGUUUCCUGUGUGGACGAUUGGGACAUUCAGAAAGAUUUUUCCUGGAAAGGAUUGUUCAUGGGAAGAAAUAUUUGGUGUUUGAGUGGGAUCUUUCAAAAAAAAUGAUUCCCAAACGAGCAAUGAUGGUGUCAAGCUGUUGUUUACGUGAGGAGAGGGAAGGGCUGUAGUUUGAUGAGUUGGGGAAGUCGUUGGGAAUGGGAGAAGAAUAGGAGCAAAUGAAUAUAUAAGGCUUUUUUCAAAAUGCUGAUUUUUUGAGGCAUGUGGGUGCCAAUCUAGGAUUGAAUAGGGGGAAAAAGACGUCUGAUCUAGAUGGGGAAGAGAAUAUGGAUCCAUAUAGGGAUCUGGUGGGGGAGAUUGUCCCAUAAAAGUUAGGGAAGGGAAGAAACGACCUCGUAGUUCAUGAUUUUCUCAAGUUUCUAUUGGAUGGAUUCGGGGAGAACUUUUGAUGAACAUAAUUAUGUUCAUGUUUCUGAGAUAUCGGUUGGCUCUGUAGGGUAAGGUAGUCGAAUGUAGUAAAAAUCUUGUGUUGGAAUGUCCGGGGGAUGGGAACCCCCGGGUGAUACGACGCUUUCGGCACAUGUUGAGGGACACUAAUCCUGAGGUGGCUUUCUUCAUGGAAACUAAGUUAUAAAGUUCUAAGAUGGAGAAAGUUCGAAGUAGUUGGGGUUUGAUAGAAUGAAUUGAUGUGAGUAGUGAAGGUAUAAGGGGGGAUUAUCUUUAUGUUGGAAACAAGGGUGUAGGGUGGUCUUAUGAAGCUUCUUAUUGAACCAUGUUGAUAUGAUUGUGGAAGGUGACACAGAGGCUACUAGGUGGCGAUUUACUGGUUUUUAUGGGCAUCCAAUGGAAAGUUUGAGGCAUCAUUCGUGGAAUUUACUAUGAGGCAUAUCAACAUAGAGCUUUGAACCGUGGUUGGUUAUGGGGGACUUCAAUAAGAUUUUGUAUUCUCAUGAGAAACAAGGGGGAAGCCUAAGAGAUGAAAGUUGUAUGGAAGCUUUUAGGUUUGCUCUUGAUGAUUGUGAUUGCUAGAUGUGGGUUAUGAAGGCCAAUGAUUUACGUGGGAACGUGGAAAAUUGACUCAUAAUAAUAUUCGGGAAAGGCUUGAUAGAGGGGUGUCAACACCAGGAGAGAGAGAUUUAUUUCCGAGUUAUAGUCUUAAGCACUGCGCGCAUUCAGUAUCUGACCAUUGCCCACUUUUACUUAAUACUUGUGGUUUGGUUGAGAGACAACAACAAAGGUACCGUAAUUUUAAGUUUGAGGCAACUUGGAUUCUUGAGGAAUCAUGCGAAGAAGAGGUCCGUCGGCUUUGAUUAAUUCGGAGGGAUUGGUGCCUGAUAAGAUUAAGUCAGUUGAGAGGGGUUUAAUGAGGUGGGCAAAGAAGGUUAGGCAGAGUUCGCGAAUGUCUAUGGAUAGAUUAAAACAUCUUCUAGAAGAAUUAAAUAGCAUAUCUUCAUAUAAUGAGAUAUUGGAAGAGUUAAUCAUCAUGAAGAUACAAUUAAAUUUGGAGAUUGAUAAGGGGAGAGGUAUAGGGAGCAACAAGCAAGGGCUAAUUGGUUGAGAAACGGUGAUCGAAAUAUAGGUUUAUUUCCAUGGAAUGACAACUUAGCGUAAAAAGAUGAAGAGUAUUAGUCGACUUGAGGAUGGAGAUGGAUGAGUGAGGAUAGGGGAUGAAGGGAUAGAGCAAAAUACGUGUCGAUACUUUUCAGAGUUAUUUAUUUCGUAGGGUAGAUGUGAUAGUAGAAGGCUCUGUUCGGGUAUUCCGAUUCAUGUUACUGAUGGCAUGAAUGAGUUCUUGAGUUCGAGAUUUAUGAAAGAGGAGGUAGUGGCGACAAUUCGAAGCAUGCAUCUUACAAAGGCACCGGGGGAAGAUGGAAUGCCAGCUUUGUUCUAUCAACAAUUCUGGCAUAUAGUUGGUAUUGAUGUAAGUAAUUAUUGCCUUGAUAUAUUGAAUAAUGAAGGAUCUACGUCGAAGAUUAAUUAUACUAAUAUAGUGCUUAUUCCAAAAUAGUCUAAUCAUGUUAGUAUGACACAUUUUAGACCGAUUAGCCUUUGCAAUGUCUUGCUUAAAAUCAUUACUAAAGAAAUUGUUCAUAGAUUGCAAAUGAUAAUGCCACAUUGCAUUGAUGAAGCGCAAAGUGUAUUUGUACCGGAGAGGUUGAUUAUGAUUAAUGUCAUAGUGGCUUUUGAGUUGCUGCCUGCUUUUAAGAAGAAAAAAGGAGGUCGAAGAGGGUCUUUUGCAUUAAAGUUGGAUACGAGCAAGACAUACGAUAGAGUGGAAUGACAUUAACCGUCUUAAAAGUUCACUAAAGCUUGAUUACAGUUAAUGUUGAAGACGGGUUUUGGGAAGGGUUGGGUCAAGCUGGUUAUGAGAUAUGUUACGUCUGUCCAGUAUUCAGUUGUGUUGAAUAAGAAACUAAGAGGGCUCAUCUCCCUUUCUAGAGGACUUUGACAAGGUGAUUCGUUAAGUCCUUUCUUAUUUCUUUUCUGUAGUGAGGGCUUGUUUGCUCUGUUACGAUUAGCCUCUCAAGAUAGUCUUAUAAAAGGAGCGAAAGCGAGUCGAUCAAGGCCUAUAGUAUCUCAAGAUAGUCUUAAAAGGGCGAAAAAUGUGAAAAAUGUACUGAAAGAGUAUGAGGGUUGUUCGGGGCAACUAAUUAAUUUUAAUAAAUCCCUUGUUUGCUUCAGUUCAAAUGCUAGUGAAAGAACUCGGCAACUAAUUGAAAGGGUGUUAGGUGUGAGGAGUUCUUUGGAUCCUGAGAAGUACUUAGGGUUACCUAUGGUGAUAGGGCGAAACAAAAAGCUCGCGUCCUGUACUAUUAUGGAUCAUAUUCAAAGCAGAAUAAAUGGAUAGUGCAAUUGAUGGUUAUCGUAAGGGGGGUUGGAGGCUGGCUUGUAAUCCUACUUUUUUAGUUGCACGAGUUUUGAAAGUUAAAUAUUAUGCGAGGAGUGAGUUUAUGAAAGCAAAGUUAGGGAGUCUGGAGAAGCAUUUGGGCAGCAAAGGGACUCUGUUGAAGGGAAGCAGCUGGCACGUUGGUGAUGGCAAAUCAAUUCCAGUAUGGGAUGUAGCUUGGUUACCUGGAGACAAACCAUAUAUUGUUCAAUCACCUCGAGUUAAUGAUGUAAUUACUGUGGCUGAUUUGAUUGAUGAACAGAAUGGAAAAUGGAAGGAAAAUGUUGUUCAUCUCACCUUCAAUGAACAGGAAACGAGAAGAAUCUUAAGCAUCAUGUUGGCAAAGUAUGGUCUAGCGGACAGAUUGAGAUGAUGUCCUGAGAAACCUGGUGAGUAUACGGUGCGUAGUGGGUAUCGACUGCUGUUGUGGGGUUUUCCAAGAACUGAUAAUGAUUUGUACGGUGAUAUAGAGUCGGAAAUGCGAAUGUUGUACAGACAACUAUGGCUGGCAAAGGUGCCAAAAAAAUUGAAAAUUACAACAUGGAGAAUUUUACAUAACUAUGUGCCUACUAGAUCUAAUUUGCUGGUUAGAAGGUUAGCAGAUGCUGCUGCAUGUUUUCGUUGUGGAAUGGCGACAGAGACUACUUUGCAUGUUUGUCAAGACUGCCCUUUGGCAGCAGAUGGGUAUUAGUUGGAAUCUGUAUCAAACGGGAGUUAUUCCUUCAAUGGCUUCAACACUUGUUUUUAGGGAACAGUCAACAACAAUCUUUGAUUACUGUCAUCAUAUGGGCUUUAUGGCUAUCAAGAAACAAGUUGAUGCAUCAAGGCAAAAGACAACCAGUCAGUGAUUUUUUCACUUUUGUAUUGGGAUAUAUCAGAGAACUGGAAUUGCUGGGGAAUUCUUACCCAAGGACUUUGUAAAAUUAGGCAGUGUUAUGGCAACUUCCAGAGGAUCAGUGGCUUAAAGGUAACUUUGAUAGGGGCUUUUACAGUGACAUGGAAGCAUCCAGUACGAGAAUAAUCAUUAGGGAUACCAGUGGUUUGAUAAUGGGAGCGACAUGCAGCCGGAAUAGCAACAUACUAUCAGUCGAAGUAGUGGAAGCAUUGGUCGCUGUUCAGGCCAUUCAAAUUGCCCAAGAGAUGGGGUUUCACAGAGUCGAGUUCGAGGGCGAUUCACUGGUGGUUAUCUCAAAGUUGAAGAUGCAAGGGUUAGUUAGAUCGACAGUCAAUAAUUAUAUCUGGGAAGUUAAACAACUGGUAAUGGGCUUUGAACGAUUUGAAUUCCAGCAUAUCAAAGAGGUGGAAAUAAGGUGGCUCACCAGUUGGCAAAGGAGGGCUUCAUUCGAAAGAGGGAUGUUCAGUGGGUGGAGGAGGGACCGCUGGCGAUCUGGGAAACAGUGGUAAUCGACGAAAGGGAGCUAUCCAAAGCCACAUCAUAGCCAUGUAUAGUUUGAAGAAAGAGCUGAAACAAAGGAUGCGAGCAGCGUUUCGUGAAAGCACUCAGAGCAUGUCGUUGAAAAACUUAUAAAAAAUAAUCCACAUUAACAAAUUUAAAAUAUAAAAAUUGUAACACGUUAAAUACAUUUAAAAAUUUGUUUGUCCCCUUAAAUAUUAAAAAACAAAUAUUUGUACAUAUAA